rnacentral:rRNA from 1 species
AGAGUUUGAUCAUGGCUCAGAACGAACGCUGGCGGCGUGCCUAACACAUGCAAGUCGAACGCGAAAGGGAGCAAUCCCCGGUAGCGUGGCAGACGGGUGAGUAACACGUGGGUAACCUACCCGGAGGUGGGGGAUAACCCUUCGAAAGGAGGGCUAAUACCGCAUGACACCGUGGGGACCUCGGUCCUUACGAUCAAAGCUGGCCUCUGUUUACAAGCUAGCGCCACCGGAUGGGCCCGCGCCCCAUUAGCUAGUUGGUGAGGUAACGGCUCACCAAGGCGACGAUGGGUAGCCGGCCUGAGAGGGCGAUCGGCCACACUGGAACUGCGACACGGUCCAGACUCCUACGGGAGGCAGCAGUGAGGAAUCUUGCGCAAUGGGCGAAAGCCUGACGCAGCGACGCCGCGUGGAGGAUGAAGGUCUUCGGAUUGUAAACUCCUGUCGAGUGGGACGAAUGCCGUGAGGGUGAAUACCCCUCGCGGUGACGGUACCGCUGAGAGC